rnacentral:lncRNA from 1 species
GGGUCACACACAUUAGAGGUUCCUAUCUGAUCUGAUGGCUGAUGAAGAGUCCUAAUAUUCAUGGACUAUGAGUCCUACAUGUCUGAAACUCUAUGAUUGAGAAUCAAGAUUCUCUGAUCACAAGUCCCACACAUUUUGGAUACCGGGGUCAAGAGUCCCACUGAUUUGGGACUCUUCGAUCAAGGUUUUAUAUUGAUGAACUUUGAUACCCGAUUGCCCAUCGAAUUUGGACUCAAUAUUU